AUUGAACGCUGGCGGCAUGCUUUACACAUGCAAGUCGAACGGUAACAGGCCGCGAGGUGCUGACGAGUGGCGAACGGGUGAGUAAUGCAUAGGAACGUGCCCAGUCGCGGUGGAUAACUACUCGAAAGAGUAGCUAAUACCGCAUACGAUCUAUGGAUGAAAGCGGGGGACUGUAAGGCUUAGCGCGAUUGGAGCGGCCGAUGUCAGAUUAGGUAGUUGGUGGGGUAAAGGCUCACCAAGCCAACGAUCUGUAGCUGGUCUGAGAGGACGACCAGCCACACUGGGACUGAGACACGGCCCAGACUCCUACGGGAGGCAGCAGUAGGGAAUUUUGGACAAUGGGCGCAAGCCUGAUCCAGCAAUGCCGCGUGCAGGAAGAAGGCCUUCGGGUUGUAAACUGCUUUUGUACGGAACGAAACGGCUCUGGUUAAUACCCGGAGCUAAUGACGGUACCGAAAGAAUAAGCACCGGCUAACUACGUG
rnacentral:rRNA from 1 species